rnacentral:tRNA from 1 species
GGCGUGGCCUAGUGGGGAAGACACCAGGCUGAUAACCUGAGGGUCUAUGGCUCGACCCCG